ACGCGCCCCUUGGAAAUUGAACAACGCAUUUCAACGCAGAGGAUCCAGAAGGAUUUCACAACGAGUCCAUUGGAAGAUAUCGAGGAACAUGAACAUCACCAAUGAAGGAGAGUAACGUUUCCACUUGCUAUAGGAAUUUAGUGAAGCACUAAAUAGUUAAUAAUAAUAAAAUGUGGUCACCAUUUAUUGACUCGUUGGGAGCGGCUUGUACUCCCAGAGGCUUCAACAGAGGGUCUGGAGCUGGGAGCUGCAGGUGGAUGGUGGCCAGGAGCCGUUCAGUCCUACAGGAACGACGGUAGAGGUGAUGGAGGUGCUCGCCAUGAGGUCCGUGGCGGUCGUCUGGAGGUGCUCGUCUGGAGGUCCGUGGCGGUCGUCUGGAGGUGCUCACCUGGAGGUCCAUGGCGGUCGUCUGGAGGUGCUCGUCUGGAGGUCCGUGGCGGUCGUCUGGAGGUGCUCGCCGUGGCGGUCGUCUGGAGGUGCUCGUCUGGAGGUCCGUGGCGGUCGUCUGGAGGUGCUCGCCGUGAGGGCCGUGGCGGUCGUCUGGAGGCGCUCGCUGCAGGUGGAGGGAAGGCCGAGAGCCGUGCAGCCCAAGGGAUGCAGAACGAAGGACUGAGGCGGAGGCCAGCCUGGAGGCGGAGGCCAGCCUGGAAGUCCUGGAUGCGUCCAACCUGGAAGGGGCAGCAUGGAGGGGCCAGGUGGCGGCUCCUCAUCCAAAGGGCCCAGAGGCGGCCAACCUGGAAGGCCUGGAGACGGCGGAGGUCCUGGAGGCGGAGGCCAACCUGGAGGUCCUGGAGGCGGAGGUCCUGGAGGCGGAUUGUGGAGACCAUCCUGGAGGGCCCGGCGGCGGCGUCCUGGAGGGCCCGGAGGCGGAGGCUCCUCAUCCAAAGAAAUGAGGCGACGUUGCGGAGGUCCAGGCGGUUGGCCCGGUGGAGGUCCUGGAGGAGACGGCCUGGAGGUGGAGGACGGCUGGGGGAUCCGGCGGUGGAGGUCCGAAGGCAGCUCGUGUUUAGACCAACCAGCUCCUCAUCCAUGGAAGGAUUGAAGGAGUCACUGGGGAUGAAGAUCACUGCUCAGGGGCUGACGACCCCCCCCCCCCCCCUCCUCAUCUUUCUGGAGAAGCGUCCUCAUGGUGCAGGCGGUCAAACCUCCACCUCUUUGAAGAGACCAAGCAGCUUGAUGACUGACUGGUUCCUUAUACUCAGGACCUCGAGCAGAGGAUAG
rnacentral:lncRNA from 1 species